rnacentral:tRNA from 1 species
GCGCCUGUACGCCACACUACGAAUCUGAGGGUCGGACGUUCGAAUCGUUCCGGGCGCGCCA